CUUGGCAACCAUAGCGCACUGGACCCACCCCUUCCCAUCCCGAACAGGACCGUGAAACAGUGUUGCGCCGAUGAUAGUGCGGUAUACCCGUGCGAAAGUAGGUCAUUGCCAAGA
rnacentral:rRNA from 1 species